GAGGGGCAGGAUCCUCAAGGUUUUGCUGACGCAAAAUGUUGGUAAGGAAUUGGCACUGUUGUGAUGUAAGUUGAAUCCCCUUUACAUCCUGUUCUUUAGGAAAAAGCUCAGAAAAAGUGUCAGUAGUAAUCAUAUUAUUGACUUGGGAUGUCCAAUUGGUGAAUUUGUAGCCAGGAGGGAACCCAUGCUUUUUAUAACAGGUGUCGACAGUGUGGCAA
rnacentral:lncRNA from 1 species